rnacentral:rRNA from 1 species
UCUCAAAGAUUAAGCCAUGCAUGUCUCAGUGCAAGCCGAAUUAAGGUGAAACCGCGAAAGGCUCAUUAAAUCAGCUAUGGUUCCUUAGAUGGUACGUACAGUUACUUGGAUAACUGUGGCAAUUCUAGAGCUAAUACAUGCAAACAGAGUUCCGACCGCUUCGCAGGCGGAAGGAAUGCUUUUAUUAGAUCAAAACCAAUCGGACUCCUCCGCGGGUCCGUCACGCCUUGGUGACUCUGAAUAACUUUGAGCUGAUCGCACGGUCUCGCACCGGCGACGCAUCUUUCAAAUGUCUGACUUAUCAACUUUCGAUGGUAGGCUCUGCGCCUACCAUGGUCGUAACGGGUAACGGGGAAUCAGGGUUCGAUUCCGGAGAGGGAGCCUGAGAAACGGCUACCACAUCCAAGGAAGGCAGCAGGCGCGCAAAUUACCCACUCCCGGCACGGGGAGGUAGUGACGAAAAAUAACGAUGCAGAACUCUUUCCGAGGCU